UGCCUAAUACAUGCAAGUCGAACGCUUCUUUCCUCCCGAGUGCUUGCACUCAAUUGGAAAGAGGAGUGGCGGACGGGUGAGUAACACGUGGGUAACCUACCCAUCAGAGGGGGAUAACACUUGGAAACAGGUGCUAAUACCGCAUAACAGUUUAUGCCGCAUGGCAUAAGAGUGAAAGGCGCUUUCGGGUGUCGCUGAUGGAUGGACCCGCGGUGCAUUAGCUAGUUGGUGAGGUAACGGCUCACCAAGGCCACGAUGCAUAGCCGACCUGAGAGGGUGAUCGGCCACACUGGGACUGAGACACGGCCCAGACUCCUACGGGAGGCAGCAGUAGGGAAUCUUCGGCAAUGGACGAAAGUCUGACCGANCAACGCCGCGUGAGUGAAGAAGGUUUUCGGAUCGUAAAACUCUGUUGUUAGANAANAACAAGGACGUUAGUAACUGAACGUCCCCUGACGGUAUCUAACC
rnacentral:rRNA from 1 species